rnacentral:rRNA from 1 species
CGGGGACGGGUGAGUAAUGUUCGGGGAAACUCGCUGAGUGGGGAGGGGAUACACUGGAAACGGUAGCUAAUACCGCAUAACGUCGCAAGACCAAAGAGGGGGACCUUCGGGCCUCUUGCCAUCGGAUGUGCCCAGAUGGGAUUAGCUAGUAGGUGGGGUAACGGCUCACCUAGGCGACGAUCCCUAGCUGGUCUGAGAGGAUGACCAGCCACACUGGAACUGAGACACGGUCCAG